CUGGGACUCUCUCUCAUCUCUUACGGCAGAAAGGAGGGGUGCACAUGGGGAUGCAUGCCCCCUUCUUUAGCAUGCGUAAGAAAGAGAGAGGGCACCCAAGCUCCUCCUUAUGUUUAUCUCCUUAGCCACAUUCCAUUUGAGAUUGAAUGAAGGAUUCAUUCAAAUAUUUGAUAAGGAUGAAAGUUCAUUUGAACUUAAACCCUUAUCAUGAUAAGAUUAGAUCUUAUUCUCUCCUCUUUGUUGCCCAGAGUGGAUGCCAAUACCAGAUUGGCAUCGCACAAGAAAAUGGAUAGGG
rnacentral:lncRNA from 1 species